ACGGCCAUAUCUCGUCGAAACAUCGGUUCCCGUACGAUCAUCGAAGUUAACCAACGUCGGACUUAAUCAGUACCUAGGUGAGUGACCGCUUAGGAAUACCAGGUGCU